UCUAUUCCAUGAGGUGCGGUCGCGGCCCUCGGCGGGAGCAACAGCUGCCGUCGGGCGGUAGAGGUAACACUUUCACGCGCCGCAUGUCUGAAUCCUUUUUUUACGAGCACCUUUCGUUCUCCUUCGGCGGGGCAACCUGCCGUUGGAACCUAUCAAAACCUUUUUUUUGCAUCUAGCAUUACCUGUUCUGAUACAAACAAUCGUUA
rnacentral:misc_RNA from 1 species